CACUCUAACUGCCACAUGGUCCUGCACCAGUGAGUGACUGUCUCAUGUGAAUGAGCCUAUUAAUGGGGAAGGAUGCUUAUCAAGCUAACUAGGAUGGAGGAGAGUGUGUUUGCUGCAGAAAGAAGAAAUUUAUCUCUAUCUAGCAGAGCUAUGCAGAGAGUAAAUCCAAAUACAGCUUCCUGUACUCUAGCAGAGAUAAAAAAAAAAAAGAGUCCUGAAGCAGAGGUAAAUGAAUUGUUGAAAAGCCUCAACUGACUCAGAUUCACAUCCUGGAUGCUUUUUGUUGUUCUAAAGUGCCUUUGUUCAUCUAGCAUUUCUAUACAAUAUAAGAACUUCUUAGUUACGUAUGUAUAUGUUGACUUCUUCCCAACUCCAUGAUCCAGCUCAGGCUAUUUGAAACUAAUGAUUUGUUUAUGGACAACUCCUUUCUGGCAAGCACUGAAAACAAUGUUAUCAUGUUAUUCACAGCAUGUCAUGUGUAUUUAAUUUAUUAUGUGCAUCUCAAUUAACUUAAGUUAUUCUACUUAAAAUCCUACUAAAUGUUUAUUAUGUAAUGAUAAUGGAAGGUGAUUUUUAAUGUUUGAAACACGUUUCCUUCCUUGUCAAAGCAAGUUCUUUUUCAUUUUCCAUUUGCUAUGUUUUUUACUAUAAACUGCAUGUUCUCUUAUUUCAUAGUGCUAAAUGCAGUGGAACAAAACUGGUUUCAGAGAAUUAAGUUGUAUAUAGAUUAAUUUUGAUUUUAUUACUGCAAUGCAUAUGCGGUUUAACUUCUAUGUGUUUAUUUGGUUAGAAAAAUAUUUUUUAACAUGCAUAAUUAUUAAAAAAAGAAAUUAAAUGACAGAAAACAGUGGAAGUUGCUGGAACGGGGAAGUGGGAGAAAAACAUACACCAAUUUUUAGAAGUGCUGAAAUCAUGUGCUAGCGUACUUGCUUACCCCAUAAUUAGGGAAGUUAGCAACUGAUAAUGGUUGAGCAUGUAGUAAAUUCCACAUGAUCUAUACCAUGUGUCCUUCUGGCUUAUUAUAAAUAUUACUUGGCAAACAUGC